UCCCCUUGACCCACGCUGGCCCCAGAGAGGCCCCGGCCAGCUCCACCAAUGGCCAAGGGCCUGGGCUUGUCCUCCCCAGCUUUGGCCCCCCAGUUCUUGUCUCUUUCUGGGGGGGUAGAUGGGUGAUGUCUCAAAGUUUCUGUUUGUUUCUCUGUGUUCCUGUCUUUGCGUACCUCUCUCCCUCCCUUUCUCCCUCUCUCAUCACCACUUUGCCCCUGUCUCCCAGCAUCACGUCUCCUGUUUUCUACUUCCAGGUCUCCAUCUGCCUGCCCACCUUUCUCUCUCUCUCUCCUUCUUCUCCGUCUGUCUCCCUGUGUCUCUCUCCCCGCUUCUCUCUGUCUCUGUGUCUCCCUCUCCUCUCUCUCUAUCUCUCUCUCUUUCUUUCUCUUUCUCUCUUUCUCCUUCUUUCUCGUCUCUCAUCACCACUUUGUCCCUGUCUCUCUCCCAGCAUCAUGUCUCUUGUUUUCUACUUCCAGGUCUCCAUCUGCCUGCCCACCUUGCUUUCUCUUUCUCUCUCUCUCCUCUCUGUCUCUCUCCCCCUUCGAUCAUGUCUCUGUGUCUUCCUCUCCUCUCUCUGUCUCUCUCUUUCUUCACUCUCUCUCUCAUCUCUCAUUGCCACUUUGCCCCUGUCUCUCUCCCAGCAUUGUGUCUUCUGUUUUCUACUUCCAACUCUCCAUCUGCCUGCCCACCUUUCUCUCUCUCUCUCUCUCUCUCUCUCAUUUCUCUCUCCCUCUCUUCUCUCUCUCUCCCCUUCUUCUCUGUCUGUCUCCCUGUGUUUCUCUCCCCCUUCUCUCUGUCUCUGUGUCUCCCUCUCCUCUCUCUCUGUCUGUCUCUCUUUCUUUCUCUUUCUCUCUCCCUCUUUCUCAUCUCUCAUUGCUACUUGGCACCUGUCUCUCUCCCAGAAUCAUGUCUCCUGUUUUCUAUUUCCAGUUCUCCAUCUUCCUGCCCACCCAUCUCUGUCUCUCUCUCUUCUACUCUUCCCUGGGGAGAGGCUGGAGAUGAAAGGCAGACAAUAGCUCUUUACUGCUCCAAACAUCAGUUUUGAUCUUGGAGGUAAGAGAAUGGAGGAAAUGACCCCUAAGUUCCCCAAGGCCUUGGUGCCUGCCCUGUGGGAUCUAGGGGGGGUGCACCUUCCCAUCCC
rnacentral:lncRNA from 1 species